rnacentral:rRNA from 1 species
UACGGGGGGAGCAAGCGUUGUUCGGAUUUACUGGACGUAAAGAGCGUGUAGGCGGCCAGGUAGGUCUGCUGUGAAAACUCGAGGCUCAACCUCGAGACGUCGGCGGAAACCAUCUGGCUAGAGUCCGGAAGAGGAGAGUGGAAUUCCUGGUGUAGCGGUGAAAUGCGCAGAUAUCAGGAAGAACACCCGUGGCGAAGGCGGCUCUCUGGGACGGUACUGACGCUGAGACGCGAAAGCGUGGGGAGCGAACAGG